AUAAAAGUUGAUGAAUUCAAUUAAGAAUGUGGAUAACAGAACUUCUUCCCACUCUAUGAUAAUGAAGAGGGAUCACCAGAUAUUUUCCCAAAUUGCUUGUGAUUGAGAAUUCAAAACUGGGAAUUGGGGAUUGAUAGGGCUCUCGUCUGUAUAAAGCUUCUCAAAAACCUGAUGGCUUUUCCGUCUGCUCCGUAUUCCCUCAGAGGAGGAAGAUUUGCUGAAACGAAGCACUAAACAGGGACUGAAAAGGAUCGGAAUUUCUUGAAGAUAUAUAGAAGUAACUUGUGUCACAAGUAAGCGGAUUGAAAAAGCUUCAAGAGGUUCCCAGACUCCCGGUGAGCCCUCAUUAGGCAGGGACGCGACACGUGGCUGAGGAAGUUGACGGAUCGGAUUUUGAGUGGCUGUAGGCUACUACCCUUUUUGGAGUGUAUUAGUGUAUUUCGUAUUUUCAGUUAUUUUGGAGAUCAUGAUGUUUGAUCUCUCACCUUGUAUA